CAAGACCCUGCUCUUCCUCCUCUGUCUCAUCGUCCUCAUAGUCAGGUGCCACAGGAGGAAGGCCCCGAGGCCCCAAAGGAGCACAAAGGAUGCAAACACAGUCUCAGGUUAAUCCCUCAGCCUAUAUUGAUGGCCGUCUCCUGCUCAUCAUGCUGGGAUUGUUCCUGUGGCCUCAUCUCUUCCCUGGGUCCCUGAACCCACCAGCUACCUGUCUCCAGAUUGUGUAUCCAGAGACAUAUGGUCCACUUCCUGCACAGUGUGAACAAUGACGCUUCCUCUCCAUGGCCAGAGAUGAGGUGCAACCACCACAGGCUGGACUUGAGGGCUCAGCGUGGUCUGUCUCCUACUGGAGUCUCCACUAGAUUCUAUUAUCUCCCUGCAUCUCACGUCAUCUCCACAUCUGGCUGGGCCAGGGCCUUUGUGACUCUGAGACUUUGCAUGUGCAGUUCCUUCGGCUGAAAUAUCCUUCCCUUCCCAUCCCUACAUCUCCAACUGAUGAUCAUACUUCUUAGUUAAUAGUCAUCCGAUUGAACAUGUGUGUGUGAUUAUUGUAUAAGUUUGAAUGAAAUCAUAUUUAGUCAUUUAUAUACAGACACUUUAGAAAGUAUAAGAGAGCACCUACUAUGUGCCAGCAUUGUUGUACGUAAUGGGGAUGCAACCAUGAACCUGGCAUCAAAAAUCUCUGUC